UUCUGUGCAGUUAAGUUCCCUUCAGGGUUUGGAGGCUGCUCUGAGUUCUCUGUCAGGUUUCUCUCCAGGUUUUGUCCAGGGUUUUGUUCCAAGGAAACCUCAGAGUGUUUUGCUUCUCUUCCUUCUUCUGUCUGUUCUCCCUCUUUUAUAACCUGAUUUCCAUGGCUUUGUGGGCUCAAAUGAGAGAGGUCCAAGUCCAAGAUUUUUU
rnacentral:lncRNA from 1 species